ensembl:rRNA 5S_rRNA 5S ribosomal RNA
GCCUACGACCAUCUCACCCUGAAUGCGCCCGAUCUCGUCUGAUCUCCGAAGCUAAGCAGGGUCGAGCCUGGUCAGUACUUGGAUGGGAGACUGCCUGGGAAUACCAGGUGUUGUAGGCU